rnacentral:lncRNA from 1 species
GGAGUUGAAGUUGCAUCACUGCUACGUUGUUUACAUUCUUUUGAGGUUAGUUUUGAUAACGAUAUCGCAAAUUCAUCUCCGGCCGGCUCUCCUCUUUUCCUUAUUUGUCUCCUCGAUUUGCCUUGCCACAUGUUUAGUAGUGGCUUUCAGUUACGUAGUUUUACCGUUAUUUCAAGUUUCCUUAGAUUAAAAAUAGUACAUCCAUUCCCCAAAGCUCGGUGUCUUCAAGCGGUUCCUUCGAAAUUCUUCAAUUGCGGGACUCUCAACUCGACGACAAUGGAAGUUGAUCAAGCUGAGUCUAAUGGGACUGUCGGGUUGCGUUGGAAAAAGAAGAACCAAACAGAAUUUUACUUCAACUUUAUAACUUGACAACUUGACAACUUUACUUCUACAACGCAUCUAGUAUUAUUCUCUCAUUAAUGGUAUGAACAAUGACAAACAUUACUUUGUAACCCAAUCUAAAAGGCUGUCCUUAAAGUGCAUAGUGCUAUUUUUCUGAUUUUCUAACAUCUUUUCCCACCCCUUGUGAUGCAUAUUCUGAUAUCCUCCAGCAACAUUUUCCUCGGUAUUUCCUUUUUCUCCUAAAAUCCCAACAUAAGCUUAGGCACAGCCUGCUUUAACUGGCAAGGCUUUAGAGAGGAUCAAAAAAUAAUUUAAGAAAAUGAUUAUUUGAAGUGCCUAUUAAAAUGAGAGAAUGAAAGAAACAAACCAGAAAUUGAAAGGAAAAGAAAAGGAAAUACCCAUAGCCAAAUCAUUACUUACCAAUUAACGUUACUUAAUUAUGAACUCAAUACCCCUCUUCCUCCACCCCUUAUAAUGCUCCGUGCUCCAUGAAGAACCUUCUACUCCCUUACGUAAGCAUUACAUAAUUUAUGGAAAGCCCUUAAGUGGAGGUCAAAUAAAUCAGAGUGAAUGAAAUACUUAAUACAUCGACAGACGAGGAAGUCAGAUAGCUGUAUUACCUACCUAUCAAGGUUUUUAGGAAGUCGAAUCUCUCAUGAAGUGAUUUUUUUUUUUUUUUUUUUUUUUUUUUUUUUUUUUUUAAUAAAAUCGUGUCUUUUGGACAUAUCACUCAAAUAUGCCUCUCUUUGACAAUCCUUUAAUGCACUUGUUAGAAAAUUCUGCAUUUGUAGAAAUGAAACAUUGAAAAAUAUUUGGAAUAAACUGCAGUGUAUAUUUUGGGAGAAUUCGUGGAAGUACCUUUAUGACCUAUACUUAGCCUAAGAUUGCUGUGUCACACAGUUGAUGGAUCUUCUUAGUAAUUGUGUUGCCUGGCCCAAAAAAUCACUGAGCCGUUGAAAAUUACCCUGCCAGUGUUGUCAAUUUUUAAACCAUCCCAACUCUUCGAACUGCCGCAUAUGCUUGUUUUUUAUUUUACAAGCCAAACUAAGAACUUGGUUUGCCACGGUUCAAUGAGUGAAGCAGUCAUUAGGUCAUGAUCAAUCCUCAGAAAAAAAUUGCCAGAUUGCACAGGACUUUCCUAUCAAAAAAUACAAUAUUAAAAGUGAAAGAGCAUCUUUAGGUUUCUUCAGAAAUAAGCAAUUUUUUGGGUGGUGAUUCCUUUCACCAAUCCUCAGGACGUCAUUCAAAAUGUUCAAAAAUUAGGGAGGAAGCAGAGCGUCACUUAAAACGCUUGAAAAUGUGAAAAAAGUGAAACCGAAGGAUAGUGAUCUUAGUGGCUCUCAAAAUUUAAAGGGUCUCUCUGCUGUAUCUAGAGGUCCGGAAUCAUUGUCCUUCAAUUACGCGGUAUGCAAUUGUUCAUGCUCUUGAGGCUCGAAAGCGAACUGGACUCAUUGCCAGGAGUAUUUUGGAGGGGAAAGCUCGGUGACUCUAACGGAGAAGGCGCGGAGGCCACUUUAGAAAACUGAUGAGUUGUAGUUAGUAAAGCCAUAAAUCUCUCAUCAACAGCUUGUCAGGGAGUUGGCGCACUUGUGUGAGUUGAUGAAGAGGUGCAGCGAUAUUGCGCACCGCGGACAACAUUGACAUUGAAAGGAACGUGAUAGGUACUAACAUGUAUUAAACCUCACUCAAUUCUUUGCCUGCUAUGUUGAAGAUUGGGUCAAAACUUCUGUCAAGAAAUAUAAAAACGCUCUAUCGUUCUGACCGCCGGAUCGAGGAUCUAAGUAAAUCAUAGAAAAAACACUGAUCAGAAAUCACACACUUCAACAUAUUUAUUAAACUAGGUAAAUUCCAAAAAUUGCCCCUUAUUUUAUUUAUUUAUUUUUUUUUUUAAUUUAAUCCCGAGAUCCACGACACCCAUUCGCUUUUCGGCGGCUAGUCGAAACGUAUGCGCAGUUUGGUCGUUAGGUCGCCGAAUAGAUGUGUAACUUAUGCAUUAUAAGUAAGUUUUGUGUGUCAUCUGGGGCAUUGGCAAGUCCAACAAUGGAGAUGUUGCAUGUGUGAGGGAUUUGCGAUUUGACUGUUGAUUCUUAUGUAAAAGUUCGCGAGAAACACGAUGGUACCACUGGUUCUCUCUAAAGUCAACUCCCAAGCUCAAAAAAGCUCUCAAGUUGAGGCCAAAAUGGAGGGGAUAUCCCACGCUAUCCUGAGAGUCCACCUCUACAUCAAGACAAACUCUCCAUGCAAAGGUAGGGAGCAAAUACAUUAGCAGGGUUGCCGUGUUUUCAGUUUUGGAGUCUCCAAAUAAGGUGGUAGCCCUGUUAAUGUAUUUGCUCCCUAUCUUUGCACGGAGAGUUUGUUUUGAUGUAGAGGUGGGCUCUCAGGAUAGCGUGGGAUAUCCCCUCCAUUUUGGCCCCAACCUGAGAGCUUUUUUGGAACUUGGGAGUUGAUUUCAGAGAAUACCAGUGGCACCAUCGUGUUUCUCCCGAACUUUUGCAUAAAAAUCAACAGUCAAAUCGCAAAUUCCUCACACAUGCAACAUCUCCAUUCGUUGUUUCCCGUACACAGGAACGUAACUCCAUUCCACGGUUGCAAAAUUGGCUCAAACAACUCAAUUUUUCUCCAAAAUGUAACCUGUGCAAAUUUUUUCCAAAAGUGUACUGAUUUUUGCAUGAGAUCAGAGGAAAAAUCACGGAAAUUUUAGGGAAGUUUCCAUGAGGUUCUCCCUGUACAGUAAUAAAUUCUCUCAUAAAAUCAAGCAUCAAUAUGAAAUAUUAGUUAUUAUUUCCUUGAUUGUAACCUGCGAACACAGGAGCAAACCUUGAAAAAUUCGACAUUUCUAAUUUUGGGUGUCAAAUCAAUAAUUGCUCGUGAUUUACGUGUUAGGAAACUCCAGCUGCCAGUUUCUGCGUCUACUCGGAAAUACACGAAUAUUGGGCAAAUACAAUAACAUGUAUCCUUCAAAUAGGUAGCACUUAAAACAAAACAUUGAUCGAAAAUCAUCAUUUGUGUAAAACGCCUGUACCUGAACUGAUACCCAAAAUGAAUUUUCUCUCUGGAUCUCGGCUUUUUAUCCUGCUCCUGACCGUAAGUUUGUCCCCAACCAGGGCCGGAUUAAAGGGGUGGCCACAUGGCAAAUCUUGGGGGCGGCAAAUUUUGCAAUUUUUAUAAAUGUAUAGGUAUAAAAAAAAUCGGAUUUAGAAAAAAAAAUUACAAACGAGAAAAGGCUACAAAAUCUCUCAUUUCCUGAGAGCAUAGUAAUUUCUAAUUUUGUCGUCUUUCAGUGAUACAAGAGACAGUACCUUUAAUUAGUCGAGUUAAGAGAGAAUCCGAACACACAAUUUGGCCUGGAACGGCGCGACUUAGGGAGAAAUGAUGACGAGGUCUUGAGAUGAAAAGGAGAAGCCCUCGGUGCGGCAAUCGGCAUGUAACACAUAUUAGCGCCUACAAGACUGCACAAAUACUUCACGCAUUGCAUCAAACACAGUGAGGUUAUUGUGGUCAGCGUGAAACGGAUAGCGCCUACAAGAAUGCACGAAUACUUCACGCAUUGAGCCAAACACGGUGCGGUUAGCGUGAAACGCAUAGCGCCUACGAGACUGCGUGAAUACUUCACGCAUUGCGCCAAACACGGUGCGGUCGGCGCGGCGCGGCGGCGGAAGUUAAGACCAUUAAACCAAAUUUUGUGUUUGUUCUUUCAUAAUUUUUUCGUUCAUUUCUUAUGAAUGGGAGGCCUUGUCCAUUGGAGAUAGGUUUACGAAACUUGACUUUCGCGCGAAGUUCCGUGACCUUUUGCUAGUAGUGU